rnacentral:rRNA from 1 species
GACCAACGCUGGCGGCGUGCCUAAUACAUGCAAGUAGAACGCUGAAGGAGGAGCUUGCUUCUCUGGAUGAGUUGCGAACGGGUGAGUAACGCGUAGGUAACCUGCCUGGUAGCGGGGGAUAACUAUUGGAAACGAUAGCUAAUACCGCAUAAGAGUAGAUGUUGCAUGACAUUUGCUUAAAAGGUGCAAUUGCAUCACUACCAGAUGGACCUGCGUUGUAUUAGCUAGUUGGUGAGGUAACGGCUCACCAAGGCGACGAUACAUAGCCGACCUGAGAGGGUGAUCGGCCACACUGGGACUGAGACACGGCCCAGACUCCUACGGGAGGCAGCAGUAGGGAAUCUUCGGCAAUGGACGGAAGUCUGACCGAGCAACGCCGCGUGAGUGAAGAAGGUUUUCGGAUCGUAAAGCUCUGUUGUAAGAGAAGAACGAGUGUGAGAGUGGAAAGUUCACACUGUGACGGUAUCUUACCAGAAAGGGACGGCUAACUACGUG